AUGGGGAUCAGGCACCUGAUUGGCUGGUGGACAGAAGUGGGCACGGCCAGUUGGAAAAAGGGGCAGUACCCAUCUGGGAGGCUCCGGGCGGCCGUGACCGUGCUGGAGUCCGGGGGGGACCUCCAGCCCCCCAGGGGUCCCUGCGCCUCCUCUGCCGAGGGUCUGGCUUUGAUUUUGGCAGUUUUGGCAUGCAGUGGAUCCGCCAGAGACCCGGGCAGGCGCUGGAAUUCGUCGCGUACAUCAGCAGUGAUGGUGGCAGCACCUGGUACGCGCCGUCGUUGAGGGGCCGGGUGACGAUCUCCAGGGACAACGGGCAGAGCUCGGUGACGCUGACCAUGAACAGCCUCAAGGACGAGGAUUCCGGAUCCUAUUUCUGCGCCAAAGCUGCUUACGCUG